UUUUGGGGAUUUUACACUCACCUCCCUUCCCUUUCUUUUCUUAUUUUACACCACCGCCGCCACCGCUAUUAUUCUCCAAUCAGCUUCUUCUACGCCACCGACCUAAACACUUCCCAAACCUUUCCAUUACAAUCUUGCUUGACCUACACAAAACAUUUCGUUCUCUCUUGGCUGCUCCGUUCAUAUGAAGAAGGUGGGUCUGCCAGGUUUGUGGUGGUUUCCGUGAAGAGGGUUUAUGAAAUCGAAGUACACACCUGAAAUCGGCGUGAAGAGGCUGCGGUGAUGAUGAGCAUCGCCAGUGACGGAGCAGAAUUUCGAGUCUGAAAUUCAAAUUAAGGGUUUAAGGGUAAGGCUAGGGUUCUAAAUCAGCAGCAACACCUUUAGGGGUUAUGCUUAUCAUAUCGGAAUCCUGACCCAUUUGUUUUAACUGAGGAAAACCACCGCACACCACCAUCGCCACCGUCUAUUUCAUCCCCUCUUAACAAUAUCAAUAAUGGAAGGGAGGAGUUGCCCUCUCUUUUCUAUCACCACAUGAACUGACGGCGGUAUAUGGUAGCUGAAUCGCUGGACUCCGGGGUAGCUAGCUGGAAUCAGGACUCUGGCACACAAUGGCCAUGCUUUAUUGAAGAUUGACAUCAUGUGAAAUGUUCUUAAAAUAGUUGCUACUUUGGCCAACCAAUAUCUCAAAUAUGUUUACCUAAGCUUCAAUAUUUGCUUCUUUUGUUUGAUAUCCAACACAAAAGGCGUAUAACAUCUUGCUUGAUGCAUUUGCGAAUCUAGAAUGGUGGACCAAACCAAGAUUGUGUUCAAGAGUAUGCGAGGAAACAAGUGAGGGUAUAUGUGUCUUAUUUUCAUAAACAAGAGAUAGAAACUAAAUUUCUUUUUUCAUAUGCAGAUGUACACUGGAUAUUUGCUCAUACACAAGUAUGUUGUGGACAUAUUUCAAUGCAUUUGACAUGGAACGACCUGAGAAGUUCUUUAGAAGGAUAAAGGAAGAUGAACGUCAACCGAAUCGGACUCUAAGGUAUAUGUGUCCUGAUUUUCCUGGUCAAAGGAAUUGGAUCGGGAAACUAUGAGUCCAGGUAUAGUGGUGGCUUGCAUAUAAGAGACCAUGAUACAUGCAUAAGUAAGUACAUCUUUUUUGGUAUGCUGAAGU